rnacentral:rRNA from 1 species
UACGUAGGGUGCGAGCGUUGUCCGGAAUUACUGGGCGUAAAGAGCUCGUAGGUGGUUUGUCGCGUUGUUCGUGAAAACCGGGGGCUUAACCCUCGGCGUGCGGGCGAUACGGGCAGACUGGAGUACUGCAGGGGAGACUGGAAUUCCUGGUGUAGCGGUGGAAUGCGCAGAUAUCAGGAGGAACACCGGUGGCGAAGGCGGGUCUCUGGGCCGAUACUGGCGCUGAGGAGCGAAAGCGUGGGGAGCGAACAGG